rnacentral:rRNA from 1 species
GUAGGAGGCAAACGUUAUCCGGAUUUACUGGGCGUAAAGCGCGUGUAGGUGGUUCUGUAAGUAGGGCGUGAAAGCUCCUGGCUCAACUGGGAGAGGCCGUUCUAAACUGCAGAGCUAGAGGAUGGUAGAGGGAGGUGGAAUUCCGGGUGUAGCGGUGGAAUGCGCAGAUAUCCGGAGGAACACCAGUGGCGAAAGCGGCCUCCUGGACCAUUCCUGACACUCAGACGCGAAAGCUAGGGUAGCAAACGGGAUUAGAGACCCCGGUAGUCCUAGCCCUAAACGAUGUAGACUUGGCGUCGGUGGCUUAAUCGUCAUCGGUGUCGUAGCUAACGCGAUAAGUCUACCGCCUGGGGACUACGGCCGCAAGGUUAAAACUCAAAGGAAUUGACGGGUCCCCGCACAAGCAGCGGAGCGUGUGGUUUAAUUCGUUGCUACACGAAGAACCUUACCUGGGUUUGACAUAGCAGUGGUAGGGAAGCGAAAGCGGACCGACCCUUCGGGGAGCUGUUACAGGUGUUGCAUGGCUGUCGUCAGCUCGUGUCGUGAGAUGUUCGGUUAAGUCCGCUAACGAGCGCAACCCGCGUUGUGUGUUACAAGUGUCACACAAUACCGCCGGUAUUAAGUCGGAGGAAGGUGCGGAUGACGUCAAGUCAGCAUGACCUUUAUAUCCAGGGCUACACACACGCUACAAUGGUCAGCAUAAUAGGUUGCCAAGUCGUGAGACGGAGCCAAUCCUCCAAAGCUGGCCUCAGUUCAGAUUGCAGGCUGCAACUCGCCUGCAUGAAGUUGGAGUUGCUAGUAACCGCAGGUCAGCUAUACUGCGGUGAAUACGUUCCCGGGGAUU